GUGUCAGCCGCCGCGGUAAGACGAACCGUGCGAACGUUAUUCGGAAUCACUGGGCUUAAAGGGCGCGUAGGCGGGCUCCCAAGUCAGGGGUGAAAUCCCACGGCUCAACCGUGGAAGUGCCUCUGAUACUGGGGGCCUCGAGGGGUGCAGGGGCGUGCGGAACUCAGGGUGGAGCGGUGAAAUGCGUAGAUAUCCUGAGGAACACCGGUGGCGAAAGCGGCGCGCUGGACACCUUCUGACGCUGAGGCGCGAAAGCCAGGGGAGCAAACGGGAUUAGAAACCCCCGUAGUCC
rnacentral:rRNA from 1 species